rnacentral:pre_miRNA from 1 species
AGUGAAACUGCCUGGUCAUAUGGUAAAUCUGUUUUUAACUUUUUCAGGAAAUACCAAACUUUUCCAAAGUUGCUGUGCCAUUUUACUUUCCCACCAGCAGU